rnacentral:rRNA from 1 species
AGAGUUUGAUCCUGGCUCAGGAUGAACGCUGGCGGCGUGGAUAAGGCAUGCAAGUCGAACGGUUUUUCCCUUCAAGAAAGUUGCGAUUACAUCAAGACCGACGAGAUUGGAAAAAUAGUGGCGAACGAGUUAGUAACACCUUGGUACGUACCCUUUGGUUUGGUAUAGCUCGCCGAAAGGCGGGGUAAUCCCAGAUAGUCUCGCAAGAGUAAAGCAGCAAUGCGCCAUUGGAGCGGCCUAGGCUCGAUCAGCUAGUUGGUGUGGUAAAGGCUCACCAAGGCUAUGACCGAUAGGGGCGCUGAGAGGCGGACCCCCAACGACGGCACUGAGACACGGGCCGUACACCUACGGGUGGCAGCAGCCGAGAAUAUUCGUCAAUGGGCGAAAGCCUGAACGAGCGACGCCGCGUGCAGGAAGAAGGUCUUCGGAUCGUAAACUGCUUUUCUACGGGAAGAAUUUUGACGGUACCGUAGGAAUAAGGAGCUGCAAACUACGUGCCAGCAGCCGCGGUAAUACGUAGGCUCCGAGCGUUAUCCGGAUUUAUUGGGCGUAAAGGGUGUGUAGGAGGUUUUGUGCGUCUCUCGUUAAAUUUCACCGCUUAACGGUGGAGCUGCGAGAGAUACGGCAAAGCUAGAGGGUGCGAGAGGUUAAUAGAACGCAAGGUGUAGGGGUGAAAUCCGUUGAUAUCUUGCGGAAUACCAAAGGCGAAGGCAGUUAACUGGCGCACUUCUGACUCUGAAACACGAAAGCGUGGGGAGCAAAAAGGAUUAGAUACCCUGGUAGUCC